GAUCCUGGCUCAGGAUGAACGCUGGCGGCGUGCUUAACACAUGCAAGUCGAACGGGAAUUACUUUAUUGAAACUUCGGUCGAUUUAAUUUAAUUCUAGUGGCGGACGGGUGAGUAACGCGUGGGUAACCUGCCUUAUACAGGGGGAUAACAGUCAGAAAUGACUGCUAAUACCGCAUAAGCGCACAGGACCGCAUGGUCUGGUGUGAAAAACUCCGGUGGUAUAAGAUGGACCCGCGUUGGAUUAGCUGGUUGGUGGGGG
rnacentral:rRNA from 1 species